CGGUAACGCAAACCAGCUCGGAGACGCCGAUGCGAGCCCCGGGAAGAGUUUUCUUUCUCUGUAAGGAGAUCGAGUCCCUGGAAUGGGUUCGCCCCGAGAUAGGGAUGGUGGCUCCGUAGAGCAGUGCGGUUCUUGCGCUGUCCGGUGCGCUCGCGUCGGCCCUUGAAAAUCCGAGUGAGGGAGUGUGAUUUUCGUGCCGGACCGUACCCACAUCCGCAGCAGGUCUCCAAGGUGAACAGCCUCUAGUCGAUGGACCAAUGUAGGUAAGGGAAGUCGGCAAAACGGAUCCGUAACCUUGGGAUAAGGAUUGGCUCUGAGGACUGAGCCGGUCGGGCUGGGGACCUGAAGCAGGAACGGCACUGCACCGGGACUGGGCGGGGCUCGCCGUUCACGCGGCGCGGCCAAGCCCGGACCAGCGUCGGGACCUUCCUGUGGAAAGCCUCAGCUGCGCGGCGUCUGAGGGCUUCGUGCCCAAAGUGCUAUGCUUCGGCCGGCAAAAAACAGUCAACUCAGAACUGGCACGGACCGGGGGAAUCCGACUGUCUAAUUAAAACAAAGCAUUGCGAUGGCCGCUGGUCGGUGUUGACGCAAUGUGAUUUCUGCCCAGUGCUCUGAAUGUCAACGUGAAGAGAUUCAUCAAAGCGCGGGUAAACGGCGGGAGUAACUAUGACUCUCUUGUUUCCUAUGGCAUGCACGCCUUGGAUUUCGGGGUGAGAGCAGAUGGUUACUUGCUUGCGCAAAGCCGAACUCCCACCUGCACGUGGUGCCCGCCGCAGGACUAGUGAGCCUAAAGGGGGUGCAUCCCUGGCGAACUCGUUCUCAACGGGAGCUCUCGCACCCUUCUAGGGGGGGACGACCCUGCCCCCUCCGCCGGCUUGGCAAUUUUUACCACUACUUUCUGUAGACCCUGACCGAGUGGUCGGGGUUCCAAGUCUGGAGU
rnacentral:ncRNA from 1 species